UUUAAAAAAGACACGUCGCGGCUAGCUAGAAGUUAGCACAGAGUCGUAUAGAAGAGCUAACGGUGUGGUUUCCACCUCUUGAACCACACUACACAGGGAAGCUGAGCAGCUAGCCAGCAGGCUAACAAACUAGCCUGCUAACUAACUGCCAGGGGAACUAGCUAGCAAGCUGGUGAACAAAGGCAGAUGUCAGUGGCGGCCAGACAAGAAGUCUGUUCCGGCUUUGAGGCUAAGCAGUGAGGGGGUGGCAAUGCGGGGGUGGUCUGUCUGUAGCUCCGUCUGGUUCACUAAUAAAAGGAAAGUACGCUACCAGUCAGUCCGAAGAGCCCAAUAGAACCCCCCUCCUUCUACAAACCGAACCGCGUAGGCCCCAUGUAGAAGCCAGUAGUUACCUCCGGUUCCGUCCGAGUUCUCGUUCAAACUGCCCGAGGAGUCAUGGUGGCUCCCCACACAGCCACCCAUGGAUGGUUCGGCACAGCAGCCCGGGCUGGGUAGCUCGCCCACCAACCGGUACGCGGCUAAGGGCUACAUGGGCUAACUAUCCCCGUUCUCGUCCCCUUUUUCUCUGUCCUGCUCCCUCGCCUCCUUCACUUGCACCCUCUGUGCGGCUAGGUUUCUCGUCGGUGGGAGGGUUGUGACCAAAAAGAGGGUUGACGCUGCUCCUGUGUCGCCAUUCGGACCCCCCCAAACAAAAACAAAAAAACACCACAUCAGUCUGCCAGGACUUACCAGUACCCCACCUCCACCAUGCUGGCAUCUGUACGUUCAUGCACACUCCAGCGUACCUGCGACCCGGUGAGGAUAAGCGGCAUAGAAGAUGGAUGGAUGGAUGGGUAUAUUCAUUGCAAUAAAAAG